rnacentral:rRNA from 1 species
GACGACGCUGGCGGCGUGCCUAACACAUGCAAGUCGAGCGAAGUACUUAUCAAUAAGCCUUCGGGCAGAUUGAUAAUCUACUUAGCGGCGGAUGGGUGAGUAACGCGUGAGGAACCUGCCUUCCACAAGGGGAUAGCCUCGGGAAACCGGGAUUAAUACCCUAUGACACUUAAAGGUCCCAUGACUUUUAAGUUAAAGCGUUAGCGGUGGAAGAUGGCCUCGCGUCCCAUUAGCUAGUUGGUGAGGUAAAGGCUCACCAAGGCCACGAUGGGUAGCCGGCUUGAGAGAGUGACCGGCCACACUGGAACUGAGACACGGUCCAGACUCCUACGGGAGGCAGCAGUGGGGAAUAUUGCACAAUGGAGGGAACUCUGAUGCAGCGACGCCGCGUGAGCGAUGAAGGCCUUCGGGUCGUAAAGCUCUGUCCUAUGGGACGAUAAUGACGGUACCCCAAGAGGAAGCCCCUGCUAACUACGUG